AAAGGAAUAGACGGGUGCCCGCACAAGCAGUGGAGUAUGUGGAUUAAUUCGACGCAACGCGAAGAACCUUACCAGGGCUUGACAUCCCGCUAACGAGGCAGAGAUGCGUCAGGUGCCCUUCGGGGAAAGCGGAGACAGGUGGUGCAUGGUUGUCGUCAGCUCGUGUCGUGAGAUGUUGGGUUAAGUCCCGCAACGAGCGCAACCCUUACGGUUAGUUGCUACGCAAGAGCACUCUAGCCGGACUGCCGUUGACAAAACGGAGGAAGGUGGGGACGAGGUCAAAUCAUCAUGCCCCUUAUGUCCUGGGCUUCACACGUACUACAAUGGCGGUCAACAGAGGGUCGCGAAGGCGCGAGCCGGAGCCAAUCCCCAAAAGCCGCCCCAGUUCAGAUUGCAGGCUGCAACUCGCCUGCAUGAAGUCGGAAUUGCUAGUAAUCGCGAAUCAGCAUGUCGCGGUGAAUACGUUCCCGGGCAUUGUACACACCGCCCGU
rnacentral:rRNA from 1 species